rnacentral:rRNA from 1 species
GUGACUGCGUACCUUUUGUAUAAUGGGUCAGCGACUUAUAUUCUGUAGCAAGGUUAACCGUAUAGGGGAGCCGUAGGGAAACCGAGUCUUAACCGGGCGUUAAGUUGCAGGGUAUAGACCCGAAACCCGGUGAUCUAGCCAUGGGCAGGUUGAAGGUUGGGUAACACUAACUGGAGGACCGAACCGACUAAUGUUGAAAAAUUAGCGGAUGACUUGUGGCU